AUACUUACCUGGCAGGGGACAUACCAUGGUCACGAAGCUGGUUUUCCCAGGGCGAGGCUUAUCCAUUGCACUCCGGAUAUGCUGACCCCUGUGAUUUUCCCAAAUGUGGCAAACUUGACUGCCUAAUUUGUGGUAGUGGGGGGACUGCGUUUGCACUUUCCCCUG
rnacentral:snRNA from 1 species